GGGGGUGUGGUCGAGUGGCAAGACAUUCGCUUCGCAAGCGAAGGAUCCCGAGUUCGAACCUCGGCAUCUCCA
rfam:Pestalotiopsis fici W106-1 unplaced genomic scaffold PFICI_Scf_3, whole genome shotgun sequence.